rnacentral:rRNA from 1 species
UACGUAGGGUGAAAGCGUUGUCCGGAAUUAUUGGGCGUAAAGAGCUCGUAGGCGGUUUGUCGCGUCUGCUGUGAAAACUCGGGGCUUAACUCCGGGCCUGCAGUGGGUACGGGCAGACUAGAGUGCGGUAGGGGAGACUGGAAUUCCUGGUGUAGCGGUGGAAUGCGCAGAUAUCAGGAGGAACACCAAUGGCGAAGGCAGAUCUCUGGGCCGUAACUGACGCUGAGGAGCGAAAGCAUGGGGAGCGAACAGG